CUGAGUUACAACCUCAUCAACCCCUUGUGAACAUACCUACUGUUGCCUUCGGCGGUAGCGUCCCUAGGACGUCUCCCGGCCUCUCCCCCGGUGGGCGGCCCGCCAGAGGAUACCCUAAACUCUGACUUACUACUAUGUAACUUCUGAGUAACACAUCAAAUAAUCA
rnacentral:misc_RNA from 1 species